CACGUAGUUAGCCGGGGCUUCUUACUCAGGUACUGUCAUUUUCUUCCCUGCUGAUAGAGCUUUACAUACCGAAAUACUUCUUCACUCACGCGGCGUCGCUGCAUCAGGGUUUCCCCCAUUGUGCAAUAUCCCCCACUGCUGCCUCCCGUAGGAGUUUGGGCCGUGUCUCAGUCCCAAUGUGGCCGUCCGCCCUCUCAGGCCGGCUACUGAUCGUCGCUUUGGUAGGCCGUUACCCUGCCAACUGGCUAAUCAGACGCGGGUCCAUCGUAUACCACCGGAGUUUUUCACACCGUUCCAUGCGGAACUGUGCGCUUAUGCGGUUUUAGCACCUAUUUCUAAGUGUUAUCCCCCUGUAUACGGCAGGUUACCCACGCGUUACUCACCCGUCCGCCACUAAGUUAACAACAUCUCUGCUCCUAGCAAGCUAUUUGCUUCAAAAAUGUUAACUCCGUUCGACUUGCAUGUGUUAAGCACGCCGCCAGCGUUCAUCCUGAGCCAGGAUCAAACUCU
rnacentral:rRNA from 1 species